rnacentral:rRNA from 1 species
UGGGGAAUAUUGCACAAUGGGCGCAAGCCUGAUGCAGCCAUGCCGCGUGUAUGAAGAAGGCCUUCGGGUUGUAAAGUACCUUCAGCGGGGAGGAAGGGAGUAAAGUUAAUACCUUUGCUCAUUGACGUUACCCGCAGAAGAAGCACCGGCUAACUCCGUGCCAGCAGCCGCGGUAAUACGGAGGGUGCAAGCGUUAAUCGGAAUUACUGGGCGUAAAGCGCACGCAGGCGGUUUGUUAAGUCAGAUGUGAAAUCCCCGGGCUCAACCUGGGAACUGCAUCUGAUACUGGCAAGCUUGAGUCUCGUAGAGGGGGGUAGAAUUCCAGGUGUAGCGGUGAAAUGCGUAGAGAUCUGGAGAAAUACCGGUGGCAAAGGCGGCCCCCUGGACGAAGACUGACGCUCAGGUGCGAAAGCGUGGGGAGCAAACAGG